rnacentral:tRNA from 1 species
GGGUUCGUAGUCUAAUGGCUACCGCUUCUGCUUCAUAAGCAGAAGGUCAUGGGUUCAAUCCCAGGCCGAUCCCU